UCCCUUUNUAGCCUCAUGCAUCUCAAGGG
rnacentral:piRNA from 1 species